rnacentral:rRNA from 1 species
CAAUCUGUCCUUGAGGCGGGAAUAACCCAGCGAAAGUUGGGCUAAUACCGGAUAAGACCACGGAAGGAAACUUCUGAGGUCAAAGGCCGCCUUCUUUUGGAGGCAGCCCUUUGAGGAGGAGCCCACGGCCUAUCAGCUAGUUGGUAGGGUAACGGCCUACCAAGGCAAAGACGGGUAGCUGGUCUAAGAGGAUGAUCAGCCACACGGGGACUGAGACACGGCCCCGACUCCUACGGAGGCAGCAGUGGGGAAUAUUGGGCAAUGGGGAAACCCUGACCCAGCGACGCCGCGUGGGUGAUGAAGGCCUUCGGGUCGUAAAGCCCUGUCGGGAGGAAAGAACGACCUUGUGGUGCAUAGCCACAGGGUGUGACGGUACCUCCGAAGGAAGCACCGGCCAAUUCCGUGCCAGCAGCCGCGGUAA